rnacentral:antisense_RNA from 1 species
CUUGAUCGACCCCACCCACAACGGCUCACCACCAUUGCGGUCUUGCCCAUAGGUGGCCAACAAUGCUUGAGCCUC